CCAUACUUCUCAACUAACAGAAGCAUUGUUAGCCUAACGUAUAGGUCACAAGUCCACAACGUUGCCAUACUAGAGGAAACGACUAUUCUUAGAGGUGGAACCGUUUAAAUGUGUAGCAUUCGAUUUAAUUUGACUAUUGAAUUAGAACUCCUGCCUCAAUUCAUUCGUUUAAUUAAUUAUUUAUUUAUUUGCAUAUUUACCGAAUGAAUUAUUUAUAGCUAAAAAAAUAUAUAACUUUUAAGGUAAAAUUUGUUACAUUUGGUGUGUGUUAUAAUUAUAAAUAUAAUAUUUGCUCACUGAAUUACAAAACUCACUCUAUCGAAUUCUCAUAUUUUUUAUAUAAGGUAUCAAUCCAAGUUUCAUUUCACCUACCUCGUAGUAGGUCUUAGUCAUUUCAUGAGUUUUUCUU
rnacentral:lncRNA from 1 species